UACGGGGGGGGCAAGCGUUGUUCGGAAUUACUGGGCGUAAAGGGCUCGUAGGCGGCCAACUAAGUCGGAUGUGAAAUCCCCAGGCUCAACUUGGGAACUGCAUCCGAUACUGGAUGGCUUGAAUUCGGGAGAGGGAUGCAGAAUUCCAGGUGUAGCGGUGAAAUGCGUAGAUAUCGGGAGGAACACCAGUGGCGAAGGCGACUACCUGGCCUGUUCUUGACGCUGAGGCGCGAAAGCUAGGGGAGCAAACGGG
rnacentral:rRNA from 1 species